rnacentral:snRNA from 1 species
AUCUCUUUGCCUUUUGGCUUAGAUCAAGUGUAGUAUCUGUUCUUUUCAGUGUAACAACUGAAACGGUUUCAUUGAAACCUUUCUAAAUUAUGUUACUCUUAUUUUUGAAAAUAGUUGGGUUUCCUCUGAGCUUGCUUAUGAUACCCGACAUCGUGUCGUUGCCGUUUCACUACUGGCUACUGACGCAAAUAUCU